CCUACGGGGGGCUGCAGUGGGGAAUAUUGGGCAAUGGGCGCAAGCCUGACCCAGCGACGCCGCGUGAAGGAUGAAGGUCUUCGGAUUGUAAACUUCUGUAAGCAGGGACGAAACAAAUGACGGUACCUGCAAAGUAAGCCACGGCUAACUACGUGCCAGCAGCCGCGGUAAAACGUAGGUGGCAAGCGUUAUCCGGAUUUACUGGGUGUAAAGGGUGUGUAGGCGGGGAAGCAAGUCAGAUGUGAAAACUAUGGGCUCAACCCAUAAAGUGCAUUUGAAACUGCAUCUCUUGAGAGUCGGAGGGGUAAAUGGAAUUCCCGGUGUAGCGGUGAAAUGCGUAGAGAUCGGGAGGAACACCAGUGGCGAAGGCGAUUUACUGGACGACAACUGACGCUGAGACACGAAAGCGUGGGGAGCAAACAGGAUUAGAUACCCCAGUAGUC
rnacentral:rRNA from 1 species